GAACGCACAUUGCGCCCUUUGGUAUUCCGAAGGGCAUCCCUGUUCGAGCGUCAUUAUCAAACCAUCAAGCUUAGCUUGUCGUUGGGCCCUUUGUCACCUGGUGAUAGGUCCAAAAGAUAAUGACUGGUGUCGUAAAGACUCUAUAUGCAACGAGCUUGUAACAGCACGCAUCUAGUAGUCAUAUGGCCCCGGUUUAUCACCCCUUUAUUUCUCAAGGUUGACCUCGGAUCAGGUAGGAAUACCCGCUGAACUUAAG
rnacentral:misc_RNA from 1 species